UAUGAAAUUUGAAGAAGCAAUAAUUCGAAAUAUAAUGUAAAUUAAUAAGAUAGAUUGCUUGCUUCCAAACCAAUAGGAUUAUAUCUGCAUUGGUUUCGGAUUCCCUCAUAAGUAGAUUAAAUAAAUAAUUGAAUAUAAACCUCUUAACCUGUUAGAAUCGCGAAUAUAAUUCUCAGUAUAAAUCGAAAAAGGUGGUGGUUUUUCGAGAAAGGAUAAAAUCGAUAAUUCAAAAUUUCU